rnacentral:rRNA from 1 species
GACGAACGCUGGCGGCGUGCUUAACACAUGCAAGUCGAACGCUGAAGGCCCAGCUUGCUGGGUUGGAUGAGUGGCGAACGGGUGAGUAACACGUGAGUAACCUGCCCCCUUCUUUGGGAUAACGGUCGGAAACGGCUGCUAAUACCGGGUAUUCACUGUCCUUCGCAUGGGGGGUGGUGGAAAGGUUUUUUCUGGUGGGGGAUGGGCUCGCGGCCUAUCAGCUUGUUGGUGGGGUGAUGGCUUACCAAGGCUUUGACGGGUAACCGGCCUGAGAGGGUGACCGGUCACAUUGGGACUGAGAUACGGCCCAGACUCCUACGGGAGGCAGCAGUGGGGAACAUUGCACAAUGGGCGAAAGCCUGAUGCAGCGACGCCGCGUGAGGGAUGACGGCCUUCGGGUUGUAAACCUCUUUCGCUCAUGGUCAAGCCGCAACUGUGGUUGUGGUGAGGGUAGUGGGUAAAGAAGCACCGGCUAACUACGUGCCAGCAGCCGCGGUAAUACGUAGGGUGCGAGCGUUGUCCGGAAUUAUUGGGCGUAAAGGGCUUGUAGGCGGUUUGUCGCGUCUGCCGUGAAAUCCUCUGGCUUAACUGGGGGCGUGCGGUGGGUACGGGCAGGCUUGAGUGCGGUAGGGGAGACUGGAACUCCUGGUGUAGUGGUGGAAUGCGCAGAUAUCAGGAAGAACACCGGUGGCGAAGGCGGGUCUCUGGGCCGUUACUGACGCUGAGGAGCGAAAGCGUGGGGAGCGAACAGG